UACGGGGGGAGCAAGCGUUGUUCGGAUUUACUGGGCGUAAAGGGCGCGUAGGCGGCCACCGCAAGUCAAUUGUGAAAUCUCCGGGCUUAACUCGGAACGGCCAAGUGAAACUGUCAAGCUAGAGUGCAGAAGGGGCAAUCGGAAUUCUUGGUGUAGCGGUGAAAUGCGUAGAUAUCAAGAGGAACACCUGAGGUGAAGACGGGUUGCUGGGCUGACACUGACGCUGAGGCGCGAAAGCGUGGGGAGCAAACAGG
rnacentral:rRNA from 1 species